AGAUUGAACGCUGGCGGCAGGCCUAACACAUGCAAGUCGAGCGGUAGAGAGGUGCUUGCACCUCUUGAGAGCGGCGGACGGGUGAGUAAUGCCUAGGAAUCUGCCUAGUGGUGGGGGAUAACGUUCGGAAACGGACGCUAAUACCGCAUACGUCCUACGGGAGAAAGCGGGGGACCUUCGGGCCUCGCGCCAUUAGAUGAGCCUAGGUCGGAUUAGCUAGUUGGUGAGGUAAUGGCUCAACCGAAGGCGACGAUCCCGUAAUGGUCUGACGAGGAUGGAAUCGACGUCAACACGUGGAACUGAGACCGACGUCCGAGACCUACGACGGGAGCAGCG
rnacentral:rRNA from 1 species